GAGUAACAUGUUGGUGACCUGCCCUUGAGAGGGGGACAACCAUUGGAAACGAUGGCUAAUACCCCAGAUGUUGACCUUUUUAGAAAGGGUUAACUAAAGUUUCCGAAUUUAUUUGGAUGCGCUCAGGGAGGGGCCAGCACCCCAUCAGCUAGUUGGUAAGGUAACGGCUUACCAAGGCGAAGACGGGUAGGGGACGUGAGAGCGUGAACCCCCACACUGGUACUGACACACGGACCAGAUACCUACGGGUAGCAGCAGCGAGGAAUCUUGCGCAAUGGGCGAAAGCCUGACGCAGCAACACCGCGUGGAGGAUGAAGCAUUUCGGUGUGUAAACUCCUUUUAUGGGUGAAUAGAACGGAAGGUAACCCAAGAAUAAGGUCCGGCUAACUACGUGCCAGCAGCCGCGGUAAAACGUAGGGACCAAGCGUUAUCCGGAAUUACUGGGCGUAAAGGGCACGCAGGCGGUUUGCUAAGUUGGAUGUGAAAGCUCCCGGCUCAACUGGGAGAGGUCAUUCAAAACUGGCAAACUUGAGGAUGACAGAGGAGAGUGGAAUUCCCGGUGUAGUGGUGAAAUGCGUAGAUAUCGGGAGGAACACCAGUGGCGAAAGCGGCUCUCUGGGUCAUUACUGACGCUCAGGUGCGAAAGCUAGGGGAGAGAACGGGAUUAGAAACCCCGGUAUUCCUAGCCGUAAACGAUGUCAACUAGGUGUUGGGGGUAACCAAUCCCUCAGUACUGCAGCUAACGCGAUAAGUUGACCGCCUGGGGACUACGGCCGCAAGGCUAAAACUCAAAGGAAUUGACGGGUUCCCGCACAAGCAGCGGAGCGUGUGGUUUAAUUCGAGGCUACGCGAAGAACCUUACCCGGGUUUGACAUAUACGUGGUACCAACCGGAAACGGAAGGGACCCUUCGGGGAGCGUAUACAGGUGCUGCAUGGCUGUCGUCAGCUCGUGCCGUGAGGUGUCAGGUUAAGUCCUGUAACGAGCGCAACCCACAUUGCUAGUUAUACGUGUCUAGCGAGACUGCCCGUGAUAAGCGGGAGGAAGGUGUGGAUGACGUCAAGUCAGCAUGGCCUUUAUAUCCGGGGCUACACACACGCUACAAUGGACGGUACAAUGGGCAGCGAAGCCGCGAGGUGAAGCCAAUCCCCCAAAGCCGUUCUCAGUUCGGAUUGUAGGCUGCAACUCGCCUGCAUGAAGUCGGAGUUGCUAGUAACCGUGCGUCAGCACAGCGCGGUGAAUACGUUCCCGGGAAUUGUACACACC
rnacentral:rRNA from 1 species